rnacentral:rRNA from 1 species
GACGAACGCUGGCGGCGUGCUUAACACAUGCAAGUCGAACGGAAAGGCCCUGCUUGCAGGGUACUCGAGUGGCGAACGGGUGAGUAACACGUGGGUGAUCUGCCCUGCACUUCGGGAUAAGCCUGGGCAACUGGGUCUAAUACCGGAUAGGAGCCAUUUUUAGUGUGAUGGUUGGAAAGUUUUGUCGGUGUUGGAUGAGCUGGCGGCCUAUCAGCUUGUUGGGGGGGUAAUGGCCUACCAAGGCGGCGACGGGUAGCCGGCCUGAGAGGGUGGACGGCCACAUUGGGACUGAGAGACGGCCCAGACUCCUACGGGAGGCAGCAGUGGGGAAUAUUGCACGAUGGGCGCAAGCCUGAUGCAGCGGCGCCGCGUGGGGGAUGACGGCCUUCGGGUUGUAAACUCCUUUCGCUAGGGACGAAGCUUUUUGUGACGGUACCUAGAUAAGAAGCACCGGCUAACUACGUG